rnacentral:rRNA from 1 species
CCUACGGGAGGCAGCAGUAGGGAAUCUUCCACAAUGGGCGAAAGCCUGAUGGAGCAACGCCGCGUGGGUGAAGAAGGUACAGAGUAUCGUACACCUCUUUUGUCAGGGAACAAAGGCGGGGACGUGUCCCCGGAUGAGUGUACCUGAAGAAAAAGCAUCGGCUAACUCCGUGCCAGCAGCCGCGGUAAUACGGAGGAUGCGCGCGUUAUCCGGAUUUAUUGGGUUUAAGGGGUGCGCAGGUGGGCUGUUAAGUCGGCGGUCAAAGCCCGGGGCUCAACCCCGGCCCGCCGUUGAAACUGGCAGUCUCGAGUUGGAGAGAAGUAUGCGGAAUGCGCGGUGUAGCGGUGAAAUGCAUAGAUAGCGCGCAGUACUCCGAUUGCGAAGGCAGCAUGCCGGCUCCACACUGACGCUGAGGCACGAAAGCGUGGGUAUCGAACAGGAUUAGAUACCCCAGUAGUC